rnacentral:lncRNA from 1 species
UUUUAAAUUAGGCCUAUUUUUAUUUUUGAAAGGUUAAAAAUAUGGAAUAAUUUCUGGAAAAUAUUUAAACGGGAGGACAGCGGGAUAGAAGUAAAAAUACGGGAUAAUCCCGGGAAAACGUGAGUGUUGACAGGUAUGGUGGUCAUCCUGUAUGGAUCCAAGCAUUAAACUGCACAACAAAAACUGGAGAGUUGACAUUUCAGGGUUAAACAUUUCCGAGUUGAUUUCAACUCAAGAAGUGUUACUUUAACAUUUUCUGAUUGAAAUGUUUUUUAUGGUUGGAGUUAUUUCACUGUUCAUCAUGUCAGAGUUAGACCAACUCUGCAGAGACGUGAUUAAGCUCCGCCCCUGUAUUUCACCGCUUCGGUUGGAGACGAGUCCACGAUAAAUCAGCUCGAUUUUCUCUCCUCAUGCAGUUGACAGGUAAAAAUGUUGGUCCAGGUGAAGUACAGACAACAGCAGAAGUAUGUGAAAUUGGAUGCAGUUGAAGGACAGUUUGACUUUCUACAAUUCAAUGAAAAAGGUGGAUCAAGACUUCACCCUCUAUUUGAUCAUGAAACAUCCUCCAGGCUCCUUCAGAAAUGGGAUGUGUUCUUCAGUCCAAAUGUCAUAAGAGGCUAA